rnacentral:rRNA from 1 species
GACGAACGCUGGCGGCGUGCUUAACACAUGCAAGUCGAACGGUGAAGGCGGAGCUUGCUCUGCCGGAUCAGUGGCGAACGGGUGAGUAACACGUGGGCAACCUGCCCCUCACUUCGGGAUAACUCCGGGAAACCGGGGCUAAUACCGGAUACGACCUCCUUGGGCAUCUUUGGAGGUGGAAAGUUUUUCGGUGAGGGAUGGGCCCGCGGCCUAUCAGCUUGCUGGUGAGGUAGUGGCUCACCAAGGCGACGACGGGUAGCCGGCCUGAGAGGGCGACCGGCCACACUGGGACUGAGACACGGCCCAGACUCCUACGGGAGGCAGCAGUGGGGAAUAUUGCGCAAUGGGCGAAAGCCUGACGCAGCAACGCCGCGUGCGGGAUGAAGGCCUUCGGGUUGUAAACCGCUUUCAGCAGGGAGGAAGCCGCAAGGUGACGGUACCUGCAGAAGAAGCACCGGCUAACUACGUGCCAGCCGCCGCGGUAA